rnacentral:lncRNA from 1 species
AUGACCCAGGCCUUUUUGACAAGCAAGCUGAUCCUGUGGUGGGGAUUGGCUAGCCGGACCGUGACGCCCGUAACAACAAAGCCCAGGGUAGGGAAGAGAGGAGCCGGAGAGAGCAGAUGGAGGAGUGGAGUCCGCUGUAGGGCUGUGGAGCUUGGCUGGAGGAUGGAGGAGCCGCCAAGCGCCCGGCUGAUUGGAAGAAAAAAGCAGAGCGAUGGAGGCGGGGGUAGGAGGACGAUUUCUCUGCGGGGACUGGCGGCGGAGUCCACGCCCGGGUCGGGCGCUGCAGAGCUUGGCUAGCUUUCAACCAGCGCUCCCCGGCACCAGCCCCACUCGCCCCCCACCCCCGGCCCUCCCGGCGGCUCCGCAGGUGAGUGCAACAAGGAAGGGAAAAAGCUUAAAAAGGGGGAGAAAGUGUUUUUCCCCCCUUUUUCCUUCUUCCAGCCCCCCAGCGGGAGGGGAGGGGUCGGAGGGGGGAGAUUGAGGGAGCUCGGCCGAAGAGGAGGGGGAAAGGAGAGGCCGGGAAAGGCCUGGGAGGCGGCGGCGACGGGGCUGGGGCACUGACAGGGCGAGCGCUCGGAGCGCUGCUGCGCUGCGCCGGGGCGGGCGGACGGAGCGGGGCGGGCGGAGCGCCGCGCGUGUGGCUCGCCAUUAGCCGUCCCUCCGCUUCGCCAUCGCGGGCUUUGUCUGGCGACUCGCUCCCCUGGCGUCGGCUGCAGCGGGAGCUGCGGAUCGGCUCCACGUCCCACUCCCUCGCCCAGUUACCGCUCUCCGGAUCCCCCCUGCCCGCGCACCCACACUUAGACACACGGAGCCGGGUAAGGAAGCCCCUGCGUCGCCGUAUUUGAGGGUAAUGGGGGAGCCGAGAGAGGAGCUGCGGGAGGCAGAUCUCCAUGCGCUCGGGAAGGCCCGAAUGAGCCAAGCCGAGCUGGAUUGAGCCUGCUCCUCGGAGGAGCCACUUCAGACCCGAUUCCCGCGGCAUUUCCGGGGUGUAGAGAAGCAGGGGGAAUUUUUUUUGUGGGGGGGAACCGAGGUUUGCGGCGGUUUUUUUUUUUAAGUAAAAAUUUGGGACCGAGGUUUUUUGAGGGUUUUUUUGUGGUCCCCCCCCCCCAUCCCGGGAAGGUAAACGAAGCCCGACGAAAAAGGGGACAAGCGGUAGCCGCUGCUCUGUAGCCUGCCGAUUCCCCGGCCCCGAGGCGCCGAUUUGGGGGUGAAGAUAGUGGUAGUGAAAAGCUAAAAGGAGGAUAAGAGCACGAAUUAAGACCCAGGAGGUAGAGAGAUAACCAAAAUUUCAAUGCCG